CGGCAUUUUCUAGCAAGAGCACCAAAAGUGAUGAGCGGAGACAGGUCACAAUAUGGUGUGGUUUCAGUUCCCACGGCGCCAGGUUCUAAAUCUCGUUCAGAGCGCCGAACUUGUUUGUGGGUAGCGAUGAACCCAACUAUGCAGCGGCGAUGCAAAGCUGCUUCGGAUCCUGCACAAUUGAGAUCCAUACCCUGCUCUCACAACCCACACAGACAUCAUCGAGUCUUAGUCCUCAGUCCUGGUCCCUUUAACACACCAACCACCGAUUGCUCAUGACUGCUCUGAUUGUACACAAAAACCGAUCUUCGCAUCCGCAGUGGUUGCGUUCCCGGUCACGUUUCUUGUGCUUGACUGCUACGUUCCUCCGAAACGGUAGUCACAUGCAAACCCGAGCUUGUGGGUGCGGGCGACUGAGAGCACUACACGUAGUUAGUUUCAUAAUAGACGAUGACACACUUGACUUCGAGUUUACGACACAUGACCAAAAUGAUAGAUCAUGGACAAAUGUUUAGGAAAACAUCAAGUUAAAUUUAAGAUAACGUUGUGAAAAUAUAAAUAUAUAACUAAGAAAGUGGAUAACUCUUGGAUAACUUAAAAACUAGUGAAUGAUAAAAAUAAAAAUAGCGGCGUUUUGAGAGAAGCUAGCACCUUCAGCUUGCGUAUUUAACUUGAUCAUUAAGUUUUCUGUUGCAUCUGUUAUCAGUUGCUGAUUUAAGUAGCAGGAUCGUCGAAAACUUUGAUGCUCUGAAUCUGAAGGCAGCUAUAUGACGCGUGCAGCUGUUUUGAUUCUUGAGCGAUUUUGUUUGAGUGGGUUGUCAGAAGAUGGAUGUAGGAUCAUGUUGGAAUCGCCUUGCUAAAGCCGAUUUCGUGGUCAAGGUAGCUUCAUUUCUGGAGCUCAUGUAUGAUAGUUGCAUGCUUUGGGGAACGUACUUGUGUGCAGGGCCAUGGGAUUUGAGAGUGUACACUUGGAGGCGAGCAGGAGGGAGUCGUAAGCGACGAGCUAGAAUUGGUAGAAGAAAGCCAAUAGGAUUGUCGAAAGAUAGAACUAGGAGGAGAGCAAGAGCAGUCCAUAAAAUGGAUUCUAUCCCAGAGAACUGCAUGCCAGAGUUGUGUGCACUGUUAGAAGAGCUUUGGUUCACCUAGAAUAUGAUCGAAGCGGAUAAGUAAGCAUGACUAUUUAUGUCCGUU
rnacentral:lncRNA from 1 species